UACGUAGGGUGCGAGCGUUGUCCGGAAUUAUUGGGCGUAAAGAGCUCGUAGGCGGUUUGUCGCGUCUGUCGUGAAAGCUUGGGGCUUAACCCCAAGUCUGCGGUGGAUACGGGCAGACUAGAGGCAGGUAGGGGAGAACGGAAUUCCCUGUGUAGCGGUGAAAUGCGCAGAUAUCGGGAGGAACACCGGUGGCGAAGGCGGUUCUCUGGGCAUGUACUGACGCUGAGGAGCGAAAGCGUGGGGAGCGAACAGG
rnacentral:rRNA from 1 species